ACGCUGGCGGAAUGCUUUACACAUGCAAGUCGAACGGCAGCAUAGAGAGCUUGCUCUCUGAUGGCGAGUGGCGAACGGGUGAGUAAUAUAUCGGAACGUGCCUAGUAAUGGGGAAUAACUAGCUGAAAGGUUAGCUAAUGCCGCAUACGACCUACGGGUGAAAGCAGGGGAUCUUCGGACCUUGCGUUAUUAGAGCGGCCGAUAUCUGAUUAGCUUGUUGGUGGGGUAAUGGCCUACCAAGGCAACGAUCAGUAGCUGGUCUGAGAGGACGAUCAGCCACACUGGAACUGAGACACGGUCCAGACUCCUACGGGAGGCAGCAGUGGGGAAUUUUGGACAAUGGGGGCAACCCUGAUCCAGCCAUUCCGCGUGAGUGAAGAAGGCCUUCGGGUUGUAAAGCUCUUUCGCAAGAGAAGAAAACUUGCUAUCUAAUAAAUAGUAAGCAUGACGGUAUCUUGACAAGAAGCACCGG
rnacentral:rRNA from 1 species